rnacentral:lncRNA from 1 species
CUCCAGAUCCCUUCUCUCAUCUCUUUUCUUCCUCACCCCUCUAACCCUAAGUGUCAUCACCCAAAAAUCCCUCCAAAUCCUCUUGAUUCAUGGGGUUUUCCUUUGAUUUCAUGCCUUAUCUGGCCUCACAUCCCUACUGUUUAUGCGAUUUCGAUGUUUCUUGAUGUGAAUCUAAAGAGACUCGAACCAAAUCUGGUUCAAAGUUUCUCGUUUCUCGAUUAUUCCAUCUAUAUCAGUGAGUACGAGUAUUUUUCGUAUUUUUGGGGUUUCAAAUCUCUGGUACAAACCAGAUUUAAUUCGCUUCUGUCUAUUUUCAUGAACCUACCUGUUUUUUGUUUGAAUCCAUUUAGAUCUCUUUAAUCUGAAGCGAUUUUGUGUUUAUUUGGUAUUUCUCUCUUAAAAUUCUCUGUUUUUACUAUUAUUAUCGACAAAUUUCAUUUACCUAAAAAGCUAGGUUUUGAUUUAUGAUGGAUUUCUGCAAAAAAGGGUAUUAACGUCUAAAUGUUUUCAUAUAUGAUUUUCUUAUUUGCUUUUCGACUGAUUUUUACUUGAUUUAAUCAAGUUACAUCUAUAUAUCUUUGUAUUUCUUAGGGUUUCGAUUAUUUGACUAUGUAUGCUACUGUCUUUUGCCUGUUUACCUUUUAUUCCAUCAGUCACGUGUUAAUUAAUUUUAUUUUCCUAAAUUAGGGUUUAUGAAUCACCUUUCCUUUAUUACCAGUAUUUCCUUAUUAAGAUUUACCUGUUCUUACCUUAUUCAUCUGAUUAAUUAUCCUUACUACGGGCUUGAUUUUGUGUUCUGACUCCUAAUUUAUUUUGAGUUUAGUUCUUACCUUAUUCUUAAUUACUGAUUGAUUUCGUAUGAGAUUUUCGUUUAAUUAAGUGAUAGUUACUCGAUUAUGUCCUGUUAAUUGAUACAUGCUGACCUUAAUUGGUUGUUUACUGAUUUUCAUACCUUAUUUAUAUGUGAUUGGUUCACUACCUUAUUUGUUUAACCUUAUUGUAUGCUAUUAAAACCCCUCCCUUGUCCUGAUCUCACACAAACAUCCACAAACACAUUGAGAAACUUACACACUUUACAACUUAAAACUUUCAAACUCUCUGCUCUAAAAAACUUGAGCGUUCUCUUUCUAUUGUUCUAUUUUAUGCACUAUUUACCAGACUGCAAGCCAAGGCCAAAUUCUCUGGAUUCUAACUGCUAUUGCGUUCAUGUUUGCUUUCUUCUCAACUAGUAUGCCUUAACUCCUAUUAUUCUAUUAUAUAUUAUCUGAUUUACUCGAUUAGUCUAUUGAAGUUUUUAGCAAUCUUAUGCUUUCUAUAUAACUACAUGAUCCCGCUUAGUGAUAAUGCUAAACUAAGUUACCUUUAAUAAUGUGAAAUCCUCUCUAAUUCAGCUGUAUGUUCCUUAUUUUGGCUAUUGUUAGAUAUUGUAAGCAUGUAAUGUUUGGAUAAUUAUGUAUAUUAGUUAAAGUAUAUUUUCUUUUGUGAUUACUUUAAAUGAUGGUAUGAGUAUCUAGUUUGAACAAAUAUCAACUUAGUUGAACUAUAUGCUGAACAUGAGUUUUGUUUGUUCUCUGGUGCAAUUCUGUUACUAUUCCGUAUGUGCUGAUUUCUAAACAUGUUUCCCCUUACGCGAAAUGUACUGGUUUUCAAACUUCUACUUUUAGUUAUUUAGGUUCCUACCGCCCCUAGUGCGAGCACUGGCUAGGGUCCCUGAGACCUUUAGACUCUGACACAUUGGGGCUAGUUUUCCAAUCUUUUUAUGAAUUAUUUGUUGCAUGUGUGAUUCUAGUGUGAGCAUUGCCCAAGGUCCCUGAGGCUCUUUAGAAACAUUGACAUACUGGAAGCUUGGUUUAAGCUGUUGUGAAUGCAUCACUGCUAUUAUCUCAGAGUUGUUAUAUUUGAAGGCCUGGUUUCAAGGUUUAUAUUAGGCCUGCUAAGGCUCCC